UGCAGCACUAGUGAGUGGGGACUUUCAUAUUCACUUUCAUUUCACUCCUCAAUAUAAACUUAAAUUCAUUGGUUGUUAGAACAGAGCCUCAUUUGCCGAUGUUGGACAACCCAUAGGUGUUACAUUUGGAAUACAACAACAAAGAUGGGGACGGAGCAGAGCACGCUGGCACAGAAUGGUUAUGUACU